rnacentral:lncRNA from 1 species
UGCCAGGGAGUGUAGAACCAUAUUUAGCUUUUUUCAGACACCAGGUGACCUGUACUCCUCUCUUCUUUCACCUGGUUCUAUCUCAAAUGGCCCAGUUUGAUCUUCUAUCCUUCCUGGAGGCCUCUGCAGCUCAUGUGGCAGGAGGCUGAGAACCCUUUCUGCAUCAACAAAGGAAAGACUGUUCCCAAGAAGGGUUUCAAAAUUUUAGGCAUUAUUGUGUUUUGCCACUUCCACAGGGCUCCUGCCUUAUCAUUCACUACUUUUGUCUUCUAUUGAUUUACUUUUCUUAACAUGUAAAUAUCUUUAUUUCAAAAGGGCAAUUUUGAACAAUAAAUAAGCAGAGAAGUAAGACUGGAAAUUAUUACAUUCUGGACAGCUAGAGUCUCAGGCCAUGUCUUUGUCUUAGGGGAAAUUAACAAAUGGCAGAGAGGUGGUAAGGAUAUAGUAACGCAGCACUGAGGCUUUAUCCAUGAAUGAAUCAGGACUGAAUGGCAAAAAAUGUGAAAACUUCAUGCACAUCUGAAAAGACUUCCUUUCCUCAAGGACGUUAUCACCAAAUCCUAGGAAUUUUUCAUAAUAAAAAUACAAGAAUAAAAGUGUACAAAGUAACUGGCACCUCUCAGUGGUCCUCUUGAGCAGUGCACAACCUGCCCAACCAUCCAUGACAGCCUGGUGUUCCACUCAUGUUAUUUAACAUUCCCACGCAUACACCUGGAGCUCUGCCCAAAAUACCUCCCCUCGCCCUGACAUACACCCUUUGGCAAGCCUCACUCUCAGACAUACAAGCAGCCCAAGGAGGAGGGAAGAGACCACAGCUUACACGAGCUCUUGUGUUCCCUUCUUCGCUGCCUCCUCCGCCCCAUUGUAGUUCGAGGACUCAUGGGCUCUCCACCCCACCACACAGUGGGUGCUGGGAAGCCACCCAACCACAGGGAGAGAUGGGGAUGCC